AAAAAGAGGAGUGGCGAACGGGUGAGUAACACGUGGGUAACCUGCCCAUCAGAAGGGGAUAACACUUGGAAACAGGUGCUAAUACCGUAUAACAAUCGAAACCGCAUGGUUUUGAUUUGAAAGGCGCUUUCGGGUGUCGCUGAUGGAUGGACCCGCGGUGCAUUAGCUAGUUGGUGAGGUAACGGCUCACCAAGGCCACGAUGCAUAGCCGACCUGAGAGGGUGAUCGGCCACAUUGGGACUGAGACACGGCCCAAACUCCUACGGGAGGCAGCAGUAGGGAAUCUUCGGCAAUGGACGAAAGUCUGACCGAGCAACGCCGCGUGAGUGAAGAAGGUUUUCGGAUCGUAAAACUCUGUUGUUAGAGAAGAACAAGGAUGAGAGUAACUGUUCAUCCCUUGACGGUAUCUAACCAGAAAGCCACGGCUAACUACGUGCCAGCAGCCGCGGUAAUACGUAGGUGGCAAGCGUUGUCCGGAUUUAUUGGGCGUAAAGCGAGCGCAGGCGGUUUCUUAAGUCUGAUGUGAAAGCCCCCGGCUCAACCGGGGAGGGUCAUUGGAAACUGGGAGACUUGAGUGCAGAAGAGGAGAGUGGAAUUCCAUGUGUAGCGGUGAAAUGCGUAGAUAUAUGGAGGAACACCAGUG
rnacentral:rRNA from 1 species